ensembl:rRNA 5_8S_rRNA 5.8S ribosomal RNA
GACUCUUGGUACUACUCGGCUUGUGCAUCGAUGAAGAAUGCAGCUAGCUUCGAGAAUUAAUGUGAAUUGCUGGACACAUUGAUCAACACUUGGAACGCACUUGUGGCCCUGGGUUCCUCUCAUGACCCUCUCGGAGUUUCU